rnacentral:rRNA from 1 species
UACGAAGGGGGCGAGCGUUGUUCGGAAUCACUGGGCGUAAAGGGCGCGUAGGCGGCCCUCCUUGUCGCGUGUGAAAGCCCCGGGCUCAACCUGGGAACGGCGCGCGAGACGGGGGGGCUGGAGUUCGGGAGAGGAGCGUGGAAUUCCCAGUGUAGAGGUGAAAUUCGUAGAUAUUGGGAAGAACACCGGUGGCGAAGGCGGCGCUCUGGACCGAGACUGACGCUGCGGCGCGAAAGCGUGGGGAGCAAACAGG